AGAGAUGCUGUGAUGAUUAAAUCUACCUAUUUUAUGAGGGAAAACUUGAUUUUCUGCUCGUGAUUAGAAACAACCAAUGGAUCCUUCUGAGCAUCCUA